GAUGAACGCUAGCGGCAGGCCUAAUACAUGCAAGUCGAACGGAUAUAUGUUUUUCGGAAUAUAUAUUAGUGGCGCACGGGUGAGUAACACGUACAUAACUUGCCCUCAAGCGGGGGAUAGCCUUGGGAAACUGAGAGUAAUACCCCAUAGAAUUAUUGGACGGCAUCGUUUGAUAAUUAAAACUACGGUGUUUGGGGAUAGAUGUGCGUCUGAUUAGCUAGUUGGUGAGGUAACUGCUCACCAAGGCGACGAUCAGUAGGGGGCGUGAGAGCGUGGCCCCCCCACACGGGUACUGAGACACGGACCCGACUCCUACGGGAGGCAGCAGUAAGGAAUAUUGGUCAAUGGACGAAAGUCUGAACCAGCCAUGCCGCGUGAAGGAUGAAUGCCCUNUGGGUUGUAAACUUCUUUUAUAUGGGACGAAAAAAGAUCUUUCUAGGUCACCUGACGGUACCAUAUGAAUAAGCACCGGCUAACUCCGUGCCAGCAGCCGCGGU
rnacentral:rRNA from 1 species